CCCCAUUGGGCAGUUCCCUAGGGAGAGCAGUCACGAAAAGCUUUUGCGUCUCCCUGGGGCUUGGGAUCUCACUUUCUCAGUAUCUCUUUCAGGUUGGCAGGAGCAUUGAGCCUGACACCUCUUCUGAUGGGACGAGCAAGCUCCGUGGUCGCAUUAAACACAUUAUACGCAAGUUCUUGGCUGAUGUUAUAGAGUCCCGUCCGCUCCUAAGGACUGACCAUACUUAAUUGCUCUGUGCUUGCUGGCCGCAGCAGAGCCUGGGGACUCCUUUCCCCUAAUUCAGAAGUAGCAGCCCAGGGCGGGGAAGAGGGGGUGGGGUGGGGAUGGGUGGGAAGGCAGUUGUUUGAGACUGCACAGCGAGGUGGUACCGAGUCGUUGAAUGAGGAGCACGGAUUCCCCCCACCCCCAGCCGAUUGGUACUUCUCAUCAGGAAGAAACGCUGAGAGGUGGGAGUGCCUGGCCAGGGAGGCAGGCGGUCCCUACCGCAGGCUGAGGGAGCUCCUUUCCGCCCCUCCGCCUGUUUCCAAGCUUGGGCUCUUUGGAGUGACUGAGCUACGGAGCUCUUCAGGAGCCUGUGAAUGAACCCUCCUCCUCCUCUCCCUCCUCCUUCUCGCUGAGUCUCCUCCUCGGCUCUGACGGUACAGUGAUAUAAUGACGGUGGGUGUCACAACCCGCAUUUGAACUUGCAGGCGAGCUGCCCCGAGCCUUUCUGGGCGAAGAACUCAAGGAGCGCGGGCGCAGCAGCUGUGAGCAUUAGGUGCUGUGGCCAAGCGCUGGGACAAGGAUCUGCCGCUACCAGCGCAUCCUCUCUCCUCUCCAGCUCUGUCCCGCACUCGCUGCACCCUUCCCCAGGCCACCGCGCUUCCUAUGUGAUCUUCCGGGGCAACGCGGAGCCCUUUCUCACAGCUCAGCAGUGAAUUUCCACCCCGAAAACUGCAGUAAGCCGCCUUUCAAGGACAAGAUGUUGAUAAAUAUGAAAGGCAUCUUAUGGAUGUGCUCAACCUUAUUACUAACCCAUGCACUACAUCAAGCCAAAAUGGAAACCAGCCCACCUGUUAAAGGCUCUCUGUCUGGAAAAGUGGUCCUACCUUGUCAUUUUUCAACCUUACCUACCUUACCACCCAAUUACAACACGAGUGAAUUUCUCAGAAUCAAAUGGUCUAAGAUGGAAGUGGACAAAAAUGGAAAAGAUAUAAAGGAGACGACUGUCUUGGUGGCCCAGAACGGAAAUAUCAAGAUUGGUCAGGACUACAAGGGGCGAGUGUCCGUGCCUACACAUCCCGAUGAUGUAGGUGAUGCUUCCCUCACCAUGGUCAAACUCCGGGCUAGUGAUGCAGGCGUCUACCGAUGUGAUGUCAUGUAUGGGAUUGAAGACACUCAGGACACCAUGUCACUGGCUGUGGAUGGUGUUGUGUUUCACUACAGGGCAGCCACCAGCAGGUACACUCUGAACUUUGCCGCUGCUCAACAGGCUUGUUUGGAUAUCGGGGCGGUCAUAGCAAGCCCAGAGCAGCUGUUUGCCGCCUAUGAGGAUGGAUUUGAGCAGUGUGAUGCAGGAUGGCUGUCUGAUCAAACUGUCAGAUAUCCCAUACGGGCUCCCCGAGAGGGCUGUUACGGAGACAUGAUGGGGAAGGAAGGGGUUCGGACCUAUGGAUUCCGCUCUCCCCAGGAAACCUAUGAUGUGUAUUGUUAUGUGGAUCAUCUGGAUGGCGAUGUGUUCCACAUCACUGCUCCCAGUAAGUUCACCUUCGAGGAGGCCGAAGCAGAGUGUACAAGCAGGGAUGCGAGGCUGGCGACUGUUGGAGAACUUCAGGCAGCUUGGAGAAAUGGCUUUGACCAAUGCGAUUACGGCUGGCUGUCGGAUGCCAGCGUGCGGCACCCUGUGACUGUGGCCAGGGCCCAGUGUGGAGGAGGUCUACUUGGGGUGAGAACCCUGUAUCGUUUUGAGAACCAGACAUGCUUCCCUCUCCCUGAUAGCAGAUUUGAUGCCUACUGCUUUAAACCUAAACAGAAUAUAUCAGAGGCAACCACCAUCGAAAUGAAUAUCCUCGCAGAAACUUCAUCACCCAGUUUAUCCAAAGAACCACACAUGGUACCUGACAGAGCUACACCAGUCAUUCCAUUAGCCACCGAAUUACCUAUUUUUACCACACACUUCCCUCCUGCAGGAAAUAUAGUCAAUUCUGAACAGAAAUCUGUAGUCUAUUCUCAGGCUAUCACAGGCAGAUUAGCCAUGGAAUCACCCACAACUACUCGGAAUACCAUCAACUCUUGGGAUCUGAAUGACUCCUUGGCUUCUGGGUCAGGGCCACUUGGAAUGCCAGACAUAUCUGAAAUUAAGGAGGAGGAACUCCGAAGUACAACUGUCAUCUCCCAACAUGCUACUGGCUCACAGGCUGUAAUUACAGAGGAUACGCAAACACAUGAAUCAGUUUCACAGAUUGAACAAAUAGAAGUGGGCCCCUUAGUAACAUCCAUGGAAAUCACAAAUCAUAUUUCUCUCAAGGAAUUGCCAGAAAAAAACAAAACACCAUAUGAAUCCACAGAAGUGACCCUGGAACACACGACUGAAAUGCCAACGGUAAGCGCCAGUCCUGAAUUGGCAACCACAAGUCACUAUGGAUUCACCUUGAGAGAAGAUGAUAGAGAAGACAGAACACUGACAGUUAGAUCUGAUCAGAGCACUCGGGUCUUUAGCCAAAUCCCCGAAGUCAUCACAGUAUCAAAAACAUCAGAAGACACUACCUACUCACAGCUAGGGGACUUAGAGUCCAUUUCAACAUCAACAAUAACCAUGCUUGGCACAGAUAGAUCACUGAUAGAUAAAGAGAAAGAACCCAAAACUAAUGGUAAGGUGACUGAAGAUGAGUUUGGUCAAUCACAGCCUACAACUACCUUCCCAUCACAGCAUCUUACAGAAGUAGAAUUACUUCCAUAUUCUGGUGACACAACAUCAGUAGAGGGAAUAUCCACAGUUAUUUAUCCAUCAUUACAAACAGAUGUGACACAAGGAAGAGAGAGGACAGAAACACCAAGACCAGAGUUAAAAAAAGAUCCGUACACAGUUGAUGAAAUACCAGAAAAGGUCACUAAAGAUCCAUUUAUAGGUAAAACAGAAGAAGUCUUCUCUGGAAUGCCUCUCUCUACAUCUUCCUCAGAGUCCUCAGUGGAAAGGACAGAAUCUGUUUCCCCUGCAUUGACAAUUGAGAAGUUAACUGUGAAGCCAACAGAAGCAAGAGAUGUGGAAGAAAUGACAACCCUGACUAGAUUAGAAACAGAUGUUACAAAGUCUGACAAAGAUGUUACAAGAGUUCAUUUGACCCACAGUACUUUAAAUGUGGAAGUGGUCACAGUAUCAAAAUGGCCAGGGGAUGAAGAUAAUUCAACUUCAAAGCCUUUACCCUCAACAGAACAUGCAGGCUUUACAAAAUUGCCUCCUGUCCCACUUAGUACUAUAGGAAUAAAUGGAAAAGAUAAAGAAAUCCCAAGUUUCACAGAUGGAGGAGGUGAAUACACUCUUUUCCCAGAUGGUACUCCAAAACCAUUAGAAAAGGUUUCUGAAGAAGAUUUAGCAUCUGGAGAAUUGACAGUCACCUUUCAUACAUCUACAUCAAUUGGCAGUGCAGAAAAGUCAGCUUCAGGAGAGCCUACAACUGGAGACAGGUUUCUGCCCACCACAAGCACAGAAGACCAGGUCAUCAAUGCAACUGCGGAAGGGAGUGCUUUGGGUGAAGAUAUAGAAGCCUCCAAGCCACUAUUUACUGGCCCCCCAUUUGUCCACACCUCCGAUGUAGAAGAAUUGGCAUUUGUUAAUUAUAGUAGCACGCAGGAGCCCACUACUUAUGUAGACAUAUCCCAUACUAGUCCUCUUUCUAUAAUUCCCAAGACAGAAUGGAGUGUGUUGGAAACUUCUGUUUCACUAGAAGAUGAGAUUCUAGGCAAAUCUGAUCAAGAUAUCCUUGAACAGACUCAUCUAGAAGCAACCAUGUCUCCUGGAGCUUUGAGGACAACAGGAGUUUCACAGGGAGAAACCCAGGAAGAACCACAAACUCCAGGGAGCCCAUUUCCUACUUUCAGUUCUACUGCAGUUAUGGCCAAGGAGACAACAGCAUUUGAAGAGGGGGAGGGGUCAACAUAUACUCCCUCUGAAGGCAGAUUGAUGACAGGUUCUGAAAGAGUCCCAGGUUUAGAAACAACUCCAGUUGGCACAUCUUAUCCACCUGGUGCAAUAACAGACCAGGAAGUGGAAAUGGAUACAAUGGUAACACUGAUGUCAACCAUUAGGCCAACAGUGGUUUCAAGUACAGAGCCAGAAGUAAUUUAUGAAGCAGAAGGUAGUAGUCCAACAGAAUUUGCAUCAACUUUGAGGCCUUUCCAGACUCAUGUCACACAGCUUAUGGAAGAAACUACUGAGGAAGGAAAAAAGGCAUCCUUAGAUUAUACAGAUUUAGGCUCAGGGUUAUUUGAACCCAGAGCCACCGAGCUCCCAAAAUUUCCAACAACUCCAAGUGAUAUCAGUGUCUUUACUGCCAUCGACAGCCUUCACAGAACGCCACCCUUGAGUCCGUCUUCAUCAUUCACUGAGGAACAACGUGUCUUUGAGGAAGAGUCCAGUGAGAAAACAACAGGUGACAUACUUCCUGGAGAAUCUGUAACACAGCACCCUGUGACAACUCUCAUUGAUAUCGUAGCCAUGAAAACAGAAUCUGAUAUUGAUCACAUGACCUCAAAACCUCCUGUAACACAGCCAACAAGACCAUCAGUUGUGGAAAGAAAAACAACCUCCAAAACUCAAGAGUUGUCUACUUCAACACCUGCAGCAGGGACCAAGUUCCACCCUGACAUAAAUGUUUAUAUUAUUGAGGUCAGAGAAAACAAGACAGGUCGAUUGAGUGAUAUGAUUGUAAGUGGUCAUCCAAUAGAUUCAGAAUCUAAAGAAGAGGAACCUUGCAGUGAAGAAACAGAUCCACUGCAUGAUCUGUUUGCUGAAAUUUUACCCGAGUUACCAGACUCAUUUGAAAUAGACAUAUAUCACAGUGAGGAAGAUGAAGACGGAGAGGAGGACUGUGUAAAUGCAACGGAUGUAACAACUACUCCGUCAGUGCAGUAUAUCAAUGGGAAGCAGCUCGUUACCACAGUGCCUAAGGACCCGGAAGCUGCAGAAGCUAGGCGUGGCCAGUACGAAAGUGUUGCACCUUCUCAGAAUUUCCCAGAUAGUUCUGCAACUGACACCCAUCAGUUUAUACUAGCAGAAACAGAAUCGUCAACUACCAUGCAAUUUAAGAAAUCUAAAGAAGGCACGGAAUUGUUAGAAAUCACAUGGAAACCCGAGACCUACCCUGAAACACCAGACCAUGUUUCAAGUGGUGAGCCUGAUGUUUUCCCUACUCUCUCAUCCCAUGAUGGUAAAACCACCAGAUGGUCAGAGUCCAUCACAGAGAGCAGUCCAAACCUUGAAAAUCCAGUGCACAAACAACCUAAGCCUGUCCCUCUGUUUCCUGAAGAGUCUUCAGGAGAGGGUGCCAUUGAACAAGCAUCCCAGGAAACAAUCUUAUCUAGGGCUACAGAAGUAGCACUUGGUAAAGAGACAGACCAAAGUCCUACCUUAUCUACCUCUAGCAUACUUUCAAGUUCUGUGUCAGUAAAUGUCUUGGAGGAAGAACCACUUACUCUAACAGGAAUCUCACAGACUGAUGAAUCCAUGUCUACUAUAGAAAGCUGGGUAGAGAUAACACCUAGCCAAACUGUAAAGUUCUCGGAGAGUUCUUCAGCUCCUAUCAUUGAAGGGUCUGGGGAAGUAGAAGAAAAUAAAAAUAAAAUCUUUAACAUGGUAACUGAUUUACCACAGAGAGAUCCUACAGAUACACUCAGCCCUUUGGAUAUGAGCAAGAUAAUGAUCACAAACCAUCACAUUUAUAUUCCUGCAACCACCGCUCCUUUGGAUUCAAAACUACCUUCUCCAGAUGCAAGGCCUACACAGUUUGGAAUUCAAACAGCCACCUCUGAGUGGGUUUCCGAUAAGUCUUUUGAAGGAAGAAAAAGAGAAGAAGAUGAAGAGGGAGCUGUGAAUGCAGCCCACCAAGGAGAAGUUCGAGCAGCAACAGAGAGGUCAGAUCACUUACUUUUAACACCAGAAUUAGAAAGUUCAAAUGUAGAUGCAUCUAGUGAUUUGGCUACCUGGGAAGGUUUUAUUCUAGAGACAACACCCACAGAGUCUGAAAAGGAAAUGGCAAAUUCAACUCCUGUUUUUAGAGAAACAAUUGGUGUAGCCAAUGUGGAGGCACAGCCCUUUGAGCAUAGCAGUAGUAGUCAUCCCAGGGUUCAGGAAGAGCUGACCACUCUCUCAGGAAAUCCCCCCUCUCUUUUUACGGACCUGGGCUCAGGAGAUGCUAGUACUGGUAUGGAACUCAUCACUGCUUCUUUAUUUACAUUAGAUUUAGAGUCUGAAACCAAAGUCAAAAAGGAAUUACCCAGUACUCCGUCUCCCAGUGUGGAGAUAUCAUCCUCUUUUGAGCCAACAGGAUUAACCCCGAGUACUGUACUAGACAUAGAAAUUGCUGGAGUUAUGAGCCAGACAUCGCAGAAGACACUGAUUUCUGAAAUAUCAGGAAAGCCAACUUCCCAGUCAGGAGUAAGGGAUUUGUAUACAGGCUUUCCAAUGGGAGAAGAUUUUAGUGGUGACUUCAGUGAAUAUCCAACAGUGUCUUAUCCAACGAUGAAAGAGGAAACAGUUGGGAUGGGAGGUUCUGACGAUGAACGAGUUAGGGAUACACAGACUUCAUCAUCUAUACCGACUACCUCAGACAACAUCUACCCCGUGCCUGACUCAAAAGGACCUGACAGUACUGUGGCCAGCACCACAGCCUUCCCCUGGGAAGAGGUCAUGUCCUCAGCUGAGGGGUCAGGUGAGCAAUUAGCCUCAGUCAGGAGCUCUGUUGGUCCAGUGCUUCCACUAGCUGUGGACAUUUUUUCUGGAACAGAGUCUCCAUAUUUUGAUGAAGAGUUUGAAGAAGUGGCUGCAGUGACAGAAGCAAAUGAAAGACCCACUGUUUUGCCAACAGCAGCAAGUGGAAAUACUGUAGAUCUUACAGAAAAUGGGUACAUAGAGGUAAAUAGCACGAUGUCACUGGACUUUCCCCAGACAAUGGAGCCAUCCAAAUUGUGGUCUAAACCAGAAGUCAAUCUUGAUAAACAAGAGAUUGGAAGAGAAACAGUGACAAAGGAAAAAGCUCAGGGACAAAAGACUUUUGAAUCGCUCCACAGUUCUUUUGCACCAGAACAAACCAUUUUGGAAACCCAAUCACUUAUUGAAACUGAAUUCCAAACUUCCGAUUACUCUAUGUUAACAACACUGAAAACGUACAUUACUAAUAAGGAAGUGGAGGAGGAAGGUAUGUCCAUAGCGCAUAUGUCUACUCCAGGUCCAGGGAUCAAAGACUUGGAAUCAUAUACUACCCAUCCCGAAGCUCCUGGAAAGUCACACUCUUUCUCAGCUACUGCUUUAGUGACUGAAUCUGGAGCAGCUAGAAGUGUACUCAUGGAUUCCUCAACUCAAGAGGAAGAAAGCAUAAAACUCUUCCAAAAGGGUGUGAAACUAACAAAUAAAGAGUCAAAUGCUGAUCUCUCAUUCUCUGGACUGGGAUCAGGAGAGGCUUUGCCUCCUCUACCUACAACAUCAGUGAAUUUGACUGACAUGAAGCAGAUCAUUAGCACAUUGUAUGCUGAGACAUCUCACAUGGAAAGCUUAGGAACAAGCAUCUUAGGUGAUAAAAUGGAAGACCAUGAAAGAAUGGAAGAUGUGUCCAAUGAAGUUAGAAUGCUCAUUUCCAAAACAGGCAGCAUCUCUCAAGACAGCACAGAGGCACUCGACACAACUUUGAGUCAUACCGGAACAGAAGAACCUACAACUUCAACUCUUCCUUUCGUGAAGCUCAUGGACUUGGAACGUUCUCCAAAGCAGACCCUCAGGUGGGAAGAGGAAACCCAGACCCAUAGACCACAAACUAUGAGUGGACUGAUCUCUAAUGAAAAUUCUUCAGCAUCAGAAGCUGAAGAAGCAGCAACUUCCCCCACUGCUUUUCUGCCUCAAACUUACAGUGUUGAAAUGACCAAACACUUUGCUCCAUCAGAGUCACAACCAUCCGACUUGUUUAAUGUAAACUCUGGAGAGGGAUCUGGAGAAGUGGAUACUCUUGACUUAGUGUACACUUCUGGAACUACUCAGGCAAGCAGUCAAGGAGACAGCAUGCUUGCUUCUCAUGGAUUUCUGGAAAAACAUCCAGAGGUGUCAAAGACUGAGGCUGGAGCUACUGAUGUAUCUCCAACAGCCUCAGCAAUGUUCCUGCAUCACUCAGAGUACAAGAGUUCUCUGUAUCCAACCAGCACACUGCCAAGCACAGAGCCAUAUAAAAGUCCCUCAGAAGGUAUUGAAGAUGGUUUGCAAGACAAUAUCCAAUUUGAAGGUUCUACCUUGAAACCUAGCAGAAGAAAAACCACUGAAAGCAUUAUUAUAGAUCUAGACAAAGAGGAUAGUAAGGACCUAGGAUUGACAAUUACUGAGAGUGCUAUUGUUGAAAUUCUCCCUGAGCUGACAUCAGAUAAAAAUAUUAUUAUAGACAUUGAUCACACUAAACCUGUAUAUGAGUACAUCCCUGGAAUACAAACAGACCUAGAUCCAGAGAUAAAAUUGGAAUCACAUGGCAGUAGUGAAGAAAGCCUUCAAGUUCAAGAGAAGUAUGAGGGAGCUGUUACCCUUUCUCCAACUGAGGAAUCAUUUGAAGGCUCUGGUGAUGCGCUUCUUGCUGGCUAUACUCAAGCAAUAUACAAUGAGUCUGUGACUCCCAACGAUGGAAAGCAGGCAGAGGACAUAAGCUUUAGUUUUGCCACUGGGAUCCCAGUUUCUAGCACAGAGACAGAAUUACACACUUUCUUCCCCACAGCGUCAACCCUGCACAUUCCUAGUAAACUAACCACAGCUAGUCCGGAGAUUGAUAAACCCAACAUUGAAGCAAUAUCUCUGGAUGAUAUAUUUGAAUCAAGCACCUUGUCUGAUGGCCAAGCUAUUGCAGACCAGAGUGAAGUAAUAUCAACAUUAGGGCAUUUGGAAAAAACACAGGAAGAAUAUGAAGAAAAGAAAUAUGGAGGUCCUUCAUUUCAGCCAGAAUUCUUUUCAGGAGUGGGGGAAGUAUUGACAGAUCCCCCUGCUUAUGUAAGUAUUGGUAGUACAUACCUUAUAGCUCAGACUUUAACAGAAUUACCCAAUGUGGUAAGACCAUCUGACUCCACACAUUACACUGAAGCAACACCUGAAGUUUCCUCUCUGGCAGAGCUCUCUCCACAGAUACCAUCUUCUCCCUUCCCUGUCUACGUAGACAAUGGAGUCUCUAAAUUCCCAGAGGUUCCCCAUACAAGUGCUCAGCCAGUUUCUACUGUCACCUCAUCACAAAAGUCUAUAGAGAGUCCUUUUAAGGAAGUCCAUGCUAAUAUUGAAGAAACCAUCAAGCCAUUGGGUGGAAAUGUCCACAGAACAGAGCCUCCAUCCAUGUCUCGUGACCCUGCUUUAGAUGUUUCAGAAGAUGAAAGUAAGCAUAAGUUACUAGAAGAACUGGAAACGUCUCCCACCAAACCUGAGACUUCCCAAGACUUCCCAAACAAAGCAAAGGAUCACAUUCCAGGAGAAACAGUUGGGAUGCUUGCUGGUAUCAGAACAACAGAGAGCGAACCUGUCAUUACUGCAGACGACAUGGAGCUAGGAGGUGCCACACAGCAGCCACAUUCUGCUUCUGCAGCUUUCAGAGUUGAGACAGGUAUGGUACCUCAGCCCAUCCAACAGGAGCCUGAGAGGCCAACCUUUCCUUCCUUGGAAAUUAACCAUGAAACACACACAUCAUUAUUUGGAGAAUCUAUACUGGCAACAUCUGAAAAACAAGUGUCUCAAAAAAUUCUUGAUAAUAGUAACCAGGCAACAGUCAGUAGUACUCUGGAUCUACAUACUGCACAUGCAUUAUCACCAUUUUCCAUUCUGGACAAUUCUAAUGAAACUGCUUUCCUGAUUGGCAUUAGUGAAGAGUCCGUGGAAGGCACAGCAGUUUACCUACCAGUUUAAAGGAGUACAGUUGGAACGUGUUUUUGGAAAAGGCAUGUUAAUGUAGCAGAAGAAACGUCAGUGCACACUUUGGAAGACAGUUUCUGAGCAUUAAGUGGACCUGAUCUCUGCAAAACAAACCCAUGCCUCAACGGAGGCACCUGUUAUCCUACCGAGACUUCCUAUGUGUGCACCUGUGCACCUGGAUACAGCGGAGACCAGUGUGAACUUGAUUUUGAUGAAUGUCACUCUAACCCUUGUCGGAAUGGUGCCACCUGUGUGGAUGGUUUUAAUACAUUUAGAUGUCUCUGUCUCCCAAGUUAUGUUGGUGCACUCUGUGAACAAGACACUGAGACAUGUGACUAUGGCUGGCACAAAUUCCAAGGACAGUGCUACAAGUACUUUGCUCAUCGACGCACAUGGGAUGCUGCUGAAAGGGAGUGUCGCCUGCAGGGUGCCCACCUCACAAGCAUCCUUUCUCAUGAGGAACAAAUGUUUGUGAAUCGUGUGGGCCAUGAUUACCAGUGGAUCGGCCUCAAUGACAAGAUGUUUGAACAUGACUUCCGCUGGACUGACGGCAGUGCACUGCAAUAUGAGAACUGGAGACCCAACCAGCCAGACAGUUUCUUUUCUGCAGGAGAAGACUGCGUUGUGAUCAUUUGGCAUGAAAAUGGUCAGUGGAAUGACGUCCCCUGCAAUUACCACCUCACCUACACUUGCAAGAAGGGAACAGUUGCUUGCGGCCAACCCCCUGUUGUAGAAAAUGCCAAGACCUUUGGAAAGAUGAAACCACGCUAUGAAAUCAACUCCUUGAUUAGAUAUCACUGCAAAGAUGGUUUCAUUCAGCGACACCUUCCAACUAUCCGGUGCCUAGGAAACGGGAGAUGGGCAAUGCCUAAAAUAACCUGCAUGAACCCAUCUGCAUACCAAAGGACUUAUUCUAAGAAAUACUUAAAAAAUUCCUCAUCCGCAAAGGACAAUUCUAUAAAUACAUCAAAACAUGAGCAUCGCUGGAGCCGGAGGCGGCAGGAAACCAGGCGCUGAUCCUUAAAAUGGCGAACAUGUGCUUCACUCAUCAUUUCAGCCAAAGUCCUGCCUUUCCGUGCCUUUCCUAUCACCUCAAGAAGAAUUAGAAGUUGGUUUGGAUUAUGGGACUGCCGUCUGGUCAUUUGGGGUGGCUGUACUCUUAAAAUAUUUUCAAUGAAACAUGGAAUUUUGAAAAAGCGAAUAAAAUGAAAGAAAAUGAACGAAGAAGAUAACCAUUUUCAGCCUAUCUAAUUUCUUUAGUUCUCUCAAUGCCUCCAGUGCAGACUGUUUCCUGUACACCAGCCUACUGUACUAUUUUAAAAAAACGCAAUUUCAGCACCGAUGGCCAUGUAAAUAAGAUGAUUUAAUGUUGAUUUUAAUCCUGUAUAUAAAAUAAAACAUCACACUCAGUUCAGGCAUAUUUAAUGAUGAUUAUGCAGCUUUCAAGGUCUUUAAUCGUUGGUUUGGCUGCUUUGCUAUAGCUUGCUUAGGCUGGAAAUGGUUUUGUCUACCCUUUGACUGUCAGCAAGUUUGAGGACGGCUUUUCUGGACAGCCAGCAAACAGCAUCUUGCAGGUCUCUGCACGUGUGUCAGCCGCGGGAGCCACACUGAUGCCUGGCUGAUUCCUGGCUGAUGAAACUCUCGCUCGGAGCUCCAGGGUGUAACUCCGCUUUGUCAUGUUCCCUUUUCUUCACUUACACGAAGCGCCUGAAUGGAGGACUUUUCUAUGACCUGGAACAUUUUUUUAGGGGUCAAAUUGCUAACUAUUAACUCAACCAGGUUUCAUUUACAAUGGCUUUCUUAACACUAACCCUGGUAAGGUAACAGAUCAAGAUAUUUGGAAUGGAUAUAGAUCAAGGGUUGAGGAGGGUGGGGGAGGGGGUUUUCUUAAAACAACAACACUCGUGCAAAAAAAAAAAACAUUUUGUACAUAUAACCAUUUUAAUUCUUUAUAAAAAAUUUGAAUGUUCAUGUAUGAAUGCUGCAACUGCGGAGCACACGUAAAUAAAUGAAGUAAGCCAUACGGAUUUAAUUUAUUGGAUGUUAUUUUCCCCAAGACCUGAAAUCAAUGUAGUAUGCUAGUAAUUUCUCAGUGUUACCUUUUAUAUUUUCUUCACAGUUUAAAACCUUAUAAUAUAGGUACUUCCUUCUAAGUGUUUAUUACGGAGAAUGGAAAUGUGUUUAGCUAUCCAUAAGUGGUAUUUGCCCAUCCCAAGCAAGUGUGAAAAUGUAGAAUAGUGUGGCCAUUGCUUACUGUUAGAUGGAGUGUAUGUGCUGACGUUUUCACUUCACCCUUCACCCCUUGCAUUUGAAUAGUGGUUGCUGAAGAUGACAUGGGAAUCAUUAUCUAGAUAAUUUAAGGCUCAAAGUUAAAACUGCUCUCAGAAAGAAGGCAUUUAAGGCUCAUCCAUUCCCUUCAUUUACAACUAACAGAAAAGGCAAAUAAAACCUGAACAGAAACCAGCUUUGAAAUGACACAAUGAAAGCAAGCAUUGAAGCAUCGUGCGGUGUCCCAUAAGUAUGGUCAGACUUUAUGUUUUAUACAUCAGGUCAAAAUAUAUAUUCAGCAAAGAAGAGUAGAGGAAGAGCAGACUGGAGUUGGUCCUAUGUUGACUGUUUCCCAUGAAUGCUACUUUAGCUUAGAGGGAAUGACUGUGCUCACAAGCAUACAUAGUGUCUUAGACAUGGUCCUGGGUCUCAGCAGUAAAUGUAAUUCAUCCUAAUGUGUACUAGAGCACAGAAAAUCACUGUGUUGACUUACUAGGGCUUUUUUUCUUUUUCAUUACAAUGCACAUAAUACUUCCCUGUAUUUAUAUUAUAACAUGUAUAGUGUAAAAUGUGAAUGGCUUUUUUUGUGAAUGAAAAUCUAAAAUCUUUGUAACUUUUUAUAUCUGCUUUUGUUUCACCAAAGAAACCUAAAAAUUCUUCUUUUACUACA